GGCGCACCCGGGAGGCGGGGCCAGCGAGGCAAGAUGGAGUUAGUGCAGGUCCUGAAACGCGGGCUGCAGCAGAUCACCGGCCACGGCGGUCUCCGAGGCUAUCUACGGGUUUUUUUCAGGACAAAUGAUGCGAAGGUUGGUACAUUAGUGGGGGAAGACAAAUAUGGAAACAAAUACUAUGAAGACAACAAGCAAUUUUUUGGCAUCGUUGGCUUCACAGUAUGACUGAUGAUCCUCCAACAACAAAACCACUUACUGCUCGUAAAUUCAUUUGGACGAACCAUAAAUUCAACGUGACUGGCACCCCAGAACAAUAUGUACCUUAUUCUACCACUAGAAAGAAGAUUCAGGAGUGGAUCCCACCUUCAACACCUUACAAGUAAAGACAAUGAAGAACAGUUGAAACAUGCAAAAUAUGGAGCUUUUCAUGUAAUUACUCUUUUACUGUUUACCAUUCACUAUAAUUCACAAUUAAAAUUGUGUGACU
rnacentral:lncRNA from 1 species